AAACUGUCUCAAAAAAAAAAAAAAGACAAAAGACUUGGGUCUACGGGUGGGUACAGAAGAGGCCCUAGGUCCAGAUAUGAAGGGAAGGUAAACAAACCUUAUUGAGAUCAAGCUCUGAACUCUCCAGUGGUCUCAUUUAGCUGAAGAUAAAAAUAUUAAAUCCUUACAGUGCUUUAGAAGUUAUGGAAGUUUUUGGUGUCCUCAUUCCUCAAACUAUAGGAAUGCUUCUGUCCUAGGGCCUUUGCACUUGGUAUUUGCACAUUGUGGAUAAUGCCUGGAGGCACCUGACAAAUAGAGCCAGCUCGUUGAUGGAUAAGAUCUAGAAGUACUCUUUGGAAGGUUGUUAGCUUAGUGUGUAAAAUUAGGCUUUGUUGUCCCAAGAUAGGGUAGAUUAUGAAUAUAACCUACUUAAUCUAAGAAAUGGACUUAAAGAUACCAAAAUAUGGCAUGUAGUAUAUGGUCAUUCACAUACACAGGCUUUAAAUUAUUCUUGUAGUUCAGGAAUUUGUUAUGUUGGCAGACCCAGACUUGAACCUCUUGAUACACUAGUGAGGAUGCUUGUAUCCAAUCCUGGACAAACCUCUAUUGAGUCAAUUUAAUUUUCAGUUAAUUACCUAAUUUGAUUUCAUAACUUUCUACCAUUUUUAGAAUCUGGAAAUUUACUUUUAGAAAUCCAAUUUAAGUUUAUCUGAGUUGUGUGACUGUAAGGGAAGAAAUGAUAAUUACAUAAGAGGAUUAUUCAUUUGUUACUGCAAUUGCAUUUUCAAAGCACAGCAUUUGGUUUACAGCUAAAAUAGGUUGCUUAUUUGUUGUAAUUAAAGUUAGUAUCUAGUGUAUUUUUUUGUGACGGGGCAUAACUGUCAACCAGGCUGGAGUUCAGUGGUGUGAUCUCACCUCACUGUAACCUCUGCCUUCCAAGUUCAAGCAGUUCUCCUGCUUCAGCCUCCAAGUAGCUGGGACUACAGGCAUGCGCCACCACGCCCGCCUGAUUUUUUUUUUUUUUUUUUCGUUUUUGAGAUAGAGUCUUGCUCUGUCGCCCAGGCUGGAGUGCAGUGGCGCGAUCUCAGCUCACUGCAACCUCUGCCUCCCGGGUUCAAGCAAUUCUCCUGCCUCAGCCUCCUGAGUAGCUGAGAUUACAGGUGCGCACCACCACGCCUGGCUAAUUUUUGUAUUUUUAGUAGAGACUAGAUUUCACCAUGUUUGUCAGGCUAGUCUCGAACUCCUGACUUAGUGAUCAGCCUGCUUUAGCCUCCCAAAGUGCUGGGAUUACAGGUGUGAGCCACUAUGCCUAUCCUAAUUUUUGUAUUUUUAGUAGAGGCAGGGUUUCAUCAUGUUGGCCAGGCUGGUCUCAAACUCCCGAUCUUGUGAUCCGCCCGCCUCAGCCUUCUAAAGUGCUGGGGUCACAGGCAUGAGCCUGUGCACCCGGCCCAGUAUCUAGUUUUAAUGUCAGUAGUGAUCAACAGAAAAAUGGGGUAGAAAAAUAAAAAUGUGAGUUUAUGUCUGAUGUAUAAAUAAGAUACAUCAAUUUGAACUGCCAGAAUUUGGGGCUCGAAGCCUUAAGCUUUUGGAUUUCCUGAUUAUUAUUUUUUAAAUUUUAAUUAUUAUUUUUUUUAGAUGGAAUCUCGUUCUGUUGCCCAGGCUGGAGUGCAACCUCCACCUCCCAGGUUCAAGUGAUUCUCCUGCCUUAGCCUCCCGAGUAGCUGGGAUUAUAGGCACCCACCACCACACCCAGCUGAUUUUUGUAUUUUUAGUAGAGACAGCGUUUCACCAUGUUAGCCAGGCUGGUCUUGAACUCUUUUUUUUUUUUUUUUUUUUUUUUUUUUUUUUUUUUUUUUUUUUUUUUUUUUUUUUUUUUUUUUUUUUUUUUGAGACGGAGUCUCGCUCUGUCGCCCAGGCCGGACUGCGGACUGCAGUGGCGCAAUCUCGGCUCACUGCAAGCUCCGCUUCCCGGGUUCACGCCAUUCUCCUGCCUCAGCCUCCCCAGUAGCUGGGACUACAGGCGCCCGCCACCGCGCCCGGCUAAUUUUUUGUAUUUUUAGUAGAGACGGGGUUUCACCUUGUUAGCCAGGAUGGUCUCGAUCUCCUGACCUCAUGAUCCACCCGCCUCGGCCUCCCAAAGUGCUGGGAUUACAGGCGUGAGCCACUGCGCCCGGCCUGGUCUUGAACUCUUGACCUCAGGUGAUCUACCUACCUCGGCCUCCCAAAGUGCUGGGAUUACAGGUGUGAGCCACCACGCCCGGACUAUUAUUUAUUUAUUCAUUUAUUUUUUGAGACGGGGUCUCUCUCCCCCAGGCUGGAGUGCAGUGCACGAUCUCGGCUCACUGCAACUCCGCCUGGUGGAUCACUGC
rnacentral:lncRNA from 1 species